AACCUGCCUCUAAGAUGGGGACAACAGCCCGAAAGGGCUGCUAAUACCGAAUGUUGUAAGUAACUCGCAUGAGAGACUUACCAAAGAUGGCCUCUGCUUGUAAGCUAUCACUUAGAGAUGGGCCUGCGUCUGAUUAGCUAGUUGGUGGGGUAACGGGCUCACCAAGGCGACGAUCAGUAGCCGGUCUGAGAGGAUGAACGGCCACAUUGGGACUGAGACACGGCCCAGACUCCUACGGGAGGCAGCAGUGGGGAAUCUUCCGCAAUGGGCGAAAGCCUGACGGAGCAACGCCGCGUGAAGUGAAGAAGGUCUUCGGAUCGUAAAAGCUCUGUCGAAGGGGACGAAUGUGGGUUCUAUCAACAACGGAACCUAAUGACGGUACCUUUCAAGAAAGCCACGGCUAACUACGUGCCAGCCGCCGC
rnacentral:rRNA from 1 species